rnacentral:ncRNA from 1 species
AUUAAAACGUUGACUAGACGAGUAGCUAGCAAAUUCUUUUCAGGAAGCUUACGGCAAUUGAGAGUAAGCAGGAAUUGUUGGUGAACCACACCUAGGAGUGUGCUAUUGAACCUUGAGUAGGUAGCAUCGGCUGUGCCCGUUAUCGCACCGGUUGUUAGGAAACUAACACCACGAGGUUUCUUUAGUAAUAAAGAAACAACGAUGAGGUGGGACCGCGUCUAUUCGCCCUCUAA